UUUUAAAAUGUUAUCAAAAGUGGCAGAGAGGUUAUUUAUUCUCUUUUCUUAUUUUUCAUUCCAUGUUUGGUUGACUGGAGCUUCUCCCAAGAGAACUUAAGUGCAGAGCCAGCAGUACUACAUUCUAAAAUACUGUCAGUGAGAUGGAAAUCUAACAACUCUAUGGGAGAACUCUUCAGCUUUUCUUUUCCUUCAUUUUGCAUGUUGGGGAGAUGAUACAACAGGUUGAGAAAUCUUCCUGCAGCUGUAUGGGAUGUACAUCAUAUAAUCACAGAGCACAUAAUGACAAUGUGAAAAUGUGCUUCCAGCAAGAACAUCAGGGAUGGAACACAAGAGCUGUUUAACAACAGACUCCAAGUUCAGUGAUAUUGGCAGAACCUCACAGCUGCCUCUGGAGCUGCUAGUAACAUGAGAACCUGUGCUGCAUGAUGCAUGUCCCUGAGUGUUCAUUUAAUGUUUGAGUGUCCAGGAUGAAUUUUGCCAGACACUGUGGAAUCCUCCCACUUAGACAUCCACCUAAGCAGCUGACGUCACCUUUUGCGGGCUGUGGAAGAUGAACUGCGUUUGUGAAAGAGCUGGUCUUCAGGACUGAAGAUACUCAGGAAUCAAUUGUGAAUGGACUUGGGCAGCUUUGUUUGUUCAACUUAUAAACAGUUUGAAAAGUUAUGAGUCUUGCCCGGAACACUUUGCCUUAGAGACAGCUGUGUAAAAUUUGUAAAAACAAGCUUAGUUUUCACAUUGUCCUUCACAGUUGCAGUAUGACAAAUAUUUUCCUUUUGAUAGUUAAAAAUAUUUGUUUGGCUGUGUCAUACAGAUAUGUCACGAGAUAUCUCUGUUUGCCUUCAAUGAUCAAAAAGUCAUUCAUACUAUAUAGAAGUGUUUUCCUAAUUAGUCUAAAUUGUAUUGAAGAACA